CUAUUAUCUCUAAUUUACAUAUAUCUGAUUUACUUGGUCUUCCACCCAUAUCUCCGAAAUUGAACUCCAAAAUUGUUAACUUUGAUUCCCUCCCACCGUAUUCUUGUAUGAUAAAUUCAAGUUAUACGUCUUCCCAAUCUUCUAAGUUCUCUCACCUCCUCUCUCUAUGGUGUGUGAUAUCGACCACCCAAUACAUCACCGGAAAUUGAAGAAGCUGCACCACCACCAUUGAUAACCAAAAAACCAUUUUAUCAGAGUCGUCAGCUAUCUGUAAACUCCCUUUGUUUUUUUUUUGUUACAAGCUCAUCAUGUAUAACAAACCCUAGACCGAUGUAUCUCACCACCACAUGCCACUGACUUCUCUUUUCCUCCACUUUCGUCUCUCUAAAAAAGACAAAACCACGACACUACCUAACAUGCCCAACGUCCUCACCACACUCACCAUCUCCUUUCACUCACUCGAUCGAUGCACCAAGUUUGUUUUCUGAUUUUACAAAUUUUGGUUUUUGACAUUUGUUUUCCCAAAUUCGAUUUUAAUUUGGUAAUUCGUGGUUUGUUUUCUCUCAUUAUAGAUUAUAUUCGAAUUUUAAAUUGAAAUAUGAAUAUUUUACCCUUGAUAUUCUGGUUCUGAAUUAACCCUCUUUUUAAUUGUGUUUGUAUGUUUAACAUAUGAUCUUCAUUCUUGAAAUUGAAAUCGGUGACUUGAAGAGGGUUCAUGGCAAAAAAAUCCGUUUCAAGGCUUAAAUGAAUCAAUACACGGUAUGACCCCUAAAACUAUCUAUUCUCCCUGUCACUCCAUUCGCAUUGUUUGUGGAAGAACACCUGCAAACCAUGGUUUGUCUAAUCCUAUUUUUGUCUCUCAUUCUCAAGAGAUUUUCUUUUCUGUUUCUCAACCAUGAUUUCUCUGUUAAUUUUUUUGAUUAUGACAUUUGUGUGUUUGUACAAAUGUGUAGUUUGAAGAUCCAACAUUCCAAUUUUCACGUAUAGUCCAUCUUUUUUCUCUUUGUAAAAUUGAUCUUCGAUUCUUUGCUUAUAUUCUCUUUUUUGGUAGCCUAAUUUGACAGGUUUGAAUAAUUAUUUCAUUUAUUCUCAAAGUUGAAACUUUCUUGGAAAUAUGGAGGCUACUGCAACCAAAUUAAGACACUCAUGAAAAGUAGAACAUGAAGAGAAGAAGAUUUUAUUAAGCUUCAUCAAGGGGAUGCAGACCAACAACCAUGUUGUGAUAUAAUGCUCGAGUUAGGUGUUAUGUAGAUGUGUUUCUACUAACAUUAUAAUUUUGUCAAUAAUAUUUUGAUUUUAUCAAUGAAUUUCACAUACCAGUCAAGCUAUGAAAGGGAAGUUAAGAGACAAAAAAAACUAAGUGGUAUUUGAUUAUAUUUUUUUGGAUCACAUGUAAAAGUGUCUGGAGAAUAAGUAGUAUUCGAGUAUUUUUCAUUU